rnacentral:rRNA from 1 species
GGAACCUUCCACGGUUUCUGCGACGCAGCUAACGCAUUAAGUGCCCCGCCUGGGGAGUACGAUCGCAAGAUUAAAACUCAAAGGAAUUGACGGGGCCCCGCACAAGCAGCGGAGCAUGCGGCUUAAUUCGACGCAACGCGAAGAACCUUACCAAGGCUUGACAUAUACAGGAAUAUGGCAGAAAUGUCAUAGCCGCAAGGUCUGUAUACAGGUGGUGCAUGGUUGUCGUCAGCUCGUGUCGUGAGAUGUUGGGUUAAGUCCCGCAACGAGCGCAACCCUCGUUCUGUGUUGCCAGCAUUUAGUUGGGGACUCACAGGAGACUGCCGGGGUUAACUCGGAGGAAGGUGGGGAUGACGUCAAAUCAUCAUGCCCCUUAUGUCUUGGGCUGCACGCAUGCUACAAUGGCUGGUACAAACGGCUGCGAUACCGCAAGGUGGAGCGAAUCCGAUAAAGCCAGUCUCAGUUCGGAUUGGGGUCUGCAACUCGACCCCAUGAAGUCGGAGUUGCUAGUAAUCGUAGAUCAGCAACGCUACGGUGAAUACGUUCCCGGGGCUUGUACACACCGCCCGUCACGUCACGAAAGUCGGUAACACCCGAAGUCAGUGGCCCAACCGUAAGGGGGGAGCUGCCGAAGGUGGGAUCGGUGAUUGGGACGAAGUCGUAACAAGGUA